GAAAGUGGGACGAACACGGAUGAUAGAACAAAAUCGAACCGACUAUAAAUUGCCAGAAUCAACUAGACAGCAAAUUCGUAGUUGACAGAAUAUUCUAGUGGCGUUGUUUUGUUAAAGAUCAGACACAGCUCUAGUUAGAAUAAUGCCGUGUGUAGAGCAAUUGAGAUAUAAUGAUCGAACUCCAGAGUAAGUUACAAAAUAGACGAUUUAUUGAGAAAUCCGUUACAAUUUAAUCAAGAAGAUCCAGAUUUGCAAGGUGUAAUGCAUGAAGUAGAUGUGAACAAAUAUACAACGAGUGGAGAAAUAGCUGCAGAAAGCCCAGUCGCGAAAUCAUAUUGGGCAGAGCAGAACAGUUUAAAGUUGGUGUGCGGCUGCCAGCAUCGAGUUUGGAAAAGCCAAGAUGGACAAAGCUCCCGAGCACUUAUGAUUGUUCCGAAGCUUGGAAGUCCUGAAGUGCUCAACGAGCUACACAACGGUCCAAGUGGAGGGCACUUGAGAAUCACGACAGCCUUGGAGAAGUUAAAUCAAAGAUUUUAUUAGCUUGUUGUCGUCAAUCAGUCAGAAUUGCUAAAUAUGCUGAGUGUAUUACAGCUAAAGGCUUGAUGUGAAUGUGUGAUUUAGUGGAGAUGAUUUGUUAAACAGCUACUCUAUAGGGGCUGCCAGAUUGUGCA